UUGCCCACGACUGAGAGCACAACUUUUCAUUUUCCAAAGAUUUCCAAACACAUGCUAGUCCUUAUUUCAACCCUAGCGACUCCCUCAACUCUACUCUCUCUACCUCCGAUCGCGUCGCAGCCGUUUUCACCUUCGAUUGCGACCGACGCUCUCUCUAAGAUUGAGAUGGUAAAGAAGCGAGUCCCUAUCUUCCUCCCUCUCUCCCAGCCACCAACUCAAUCCCUCUAUCUCCCACUCCCUCAUCCCUCUUCAUCACUUCAGUUAUCUCUUCCCCGCAACAAACACAGCCCCUUUCAAACCAUUUUAGGGCUUUGUUUUGCAAUUGCUUCUUCGUUGAUUCCAAGCUACUCCUCAGAUCCUUCACAAAUCCGAUUAAUGGUGCUGAUGAUAUGUCUCUGCCAAGAACAUUGCUUGGGAGGAACUUGGAGCUGAAGGCUUCUUUUUGUUUAAUUGUUAUAUAUAUUUUGUUAUAAGCCUAGGGCUUUAACUGUAUUGAGCUUGGACUCACUUUUGUUGUAACCAAACACUAUCUUGAACAGAUGUAGCCAUCAGGGCAUUUAUUAUUUGUUUAA